rnacentral:sRNA from 1 species
CUUGGUCAUUUAGAGGAAGUAAAAGUCGUAACAAGGUCUCCGUUGGUGAACCAGCGGAGGGAUCAUUACCGAGUUUACAACUCCCAAACCCCUGUGAACAUACCUUAUGUUGCCUCGGCGGAUCAGCCCGCGCCCCGUAAAAAGGGACGGCCCGCCGCAGGAACCCUAAACUCUGUUUUUAGUGGAACUUCUGAGUAUAAAAAACAAAUAAAUCAAAACUUUCAACAACGGAUCUCUUGGUUCUGGCAUCGAUGAAAAACGCAGCAAAAUGCGAUAAGUAAUGUGAAUUGCAAAAUUCAGUGAAUCAUCGAAUCUUUGAACGCACAUUGCGCCCGCCAGUAUUCUGGCGGGCAUGCCUGUUCGAGCGUCAUUUCAACCCUCAAGCCCAGCUUGGUGUUGGGAGCUGCAGUCCUGCUGCACUCCCCAAAUACAUUGGCGGUCACGUCGAGCUUCCAUAGCGUAGUAAUUUACAUAUCGUUACUGGUAAUCGUCGCGGCCACGCCGUUAAACCCCAACUUCUGAAUGUUGACCUCGGAUCAGGUAGGAAUACCCGCUGAACUUAAGCAUAUCAAUAAGCGGAGGAA